rnacentral:rRNA from 1 species
UACGUAGGGAGCAAGCGUUGUCCGGAAUCAUUGGGCGUAAAGCGCGCGUAGGUGGCCCCAUAAGUCCGCUGUGAAAGUCAAAGGCUCAACCUUUGAAAGCCGGUGGAUACUGUGGGACUAGAGUACGGAAGAGGCGAGUGGAAUUCCUGGUGUAGCGGUGGAAUGCGCAGAUAUCAGGAGGAACACCAAUAGCGAAGGCAGCUCGCUGGGACGAUACUGACGCUAAGGCGCGAAAGCGUGGGGAGCGAACAGG